CCAGGCAAUAAAUUGCCUGGCUACUAUCUAUCGUCCCUAACGGGACU
rnacentral:sRNA from 1 species